rnacentral:tRNA from 1 species
UCCUGGAAGCUCAGAGGGUAAGGCGUCUGCCUGUAAUGCAGGAGACCCAGGUUUGAUCCCUGGAUCAGGAA